rnacentral:rRNA from 1 species
GCACAAGCGGUGGAGCAUGUGGUUAAUUCGAGGCAACGCGAAGAACCUUACCAGGUCUUGACAUCCCCUGACAACCCGAGAGAUCGGGCGUUCCCCUUCGGGGGACAGGGUGACAGGUGGUGCAUGGUUGUCGUCAGCUCGUGUCGUGAGAUGUUGGGUUAAGUCCCGCAACGAGCGCAACCCUCGACCUUAGUUGCCAGCAUUCAGUUGGGCACUCUAAGGUGACUGCCGGCUAAAAGUCGGAGGAAGUGGGGAUGACGUCAAAUCAUCAUGCCCCUUAUGACCUGGGCUACACACGUGCUACAAUGGGCGGUACAAAGGGUCGCGAACCCGCGAGGGGGAGCCAAUCCCAAAAAGCCGCUCUCAGUUCGGAUUGCAGGCUGCAACUCGCCUGCAUGAAGCCGGAAUCGCUAGUAAUCGCGGAUCAGCAUGCCGCGGUGAAUACGUUCCCGGGCCUU